rnacentral:rRNA from 1 species
AUAGCGGAGGAAAAGGAAACCAACAGGGAUUGCUCUAGUAACGGCGAGUGAACAAGCAAAAGCUCAGUUUUGAAAGCCUACUUUGUAGGCAUUGUAUUCUGAAGCCUAGAUUCUGGGAAACGGUGUUUAAGUCUUCUGGAAAGGAGCGCCACGGAGGGUGAUAGCCCCGUACGGCACUGACCCCAUUGUAGUUUCUAGGCGUGGAGUCGAGUUGUUUGGGAAUGCAGCUCAAAUGGGAGGUAUGCUCCUUCUAAAGCUAAAUAUUUGCGAGAGACCGAUAGCGAACAAGUACUGUGAAGGAAAGAUGAAAAGAACUUUGAAAAGAGAGUGAAAUAGGACGUGAAAUUGUUGAAAUGGAAGGGUAGGCUGCUAACCAUGUAGGACCGUGUCUGAGGGGAAGAUAAAAGCUACGGAAUGUGACUCUUCGGAGUGUUAUAGCCGUGGUCAAUGUUCCCACUUAGGCGCGAGGAUCUCA